GCCUCGAUUGCGCAGUAGGCAGCGCGUGAGUCUCAUAAUCUCAAGGUCGUGAGUUCGAUCCUCACUCGGGGCA
rfam:Ciona savignyi cont_26855, whole genome shotgun sequence.